rnacentral:rRNA from 1 species
AACGAACGCUGGCGGCGUGCCUAACACAUGCAAGUCGAACGUGAAAGCUCCCUUCGGGGAGUGAGUAGAGUGGCAGACGGGUGAGUAACACGUGGGCAACCUGCCCGGAGGUGGGGGAUAACCUUCCGAAAGGAAGGCUAAUACCGCAUGACAUCACGAACUCCUCGGGGCUCGUGAUCAAAGUUGGCCUCUACAUGUAAGCUGACGCCACCGGAGGGGCCCGCGCCCCAUUAGCUUGUUGGUGAGGUAACGGCUCACCAAGGCGACGAUGGGUAGCCGGCCUGAGAGGGCGACCGGCCACACUGGAACUGGGACACGGUCCAGACUCCUACGGGAGGCAGCAGUGAGGAAUUUUGCGCAAUGGGCGAAAGCCUGACGCAGCGACGCCGCGUGGAGGAUGAAGGCCUUCGGGUCGUAAACUCCUGUCAAGAGGGACGAAAUCCGAGGUUGUUAAUACCAGCCCCGGUUGACGGUACCUCUGGAGGAAGCCCCGGCUAACUCCGUG